rnacentral:rRNA from 1 species
UACGUAGGGGGCUAGCGUUGGCCGGAAUCAUUGGGCGUAAAGGGCGCGCAGGUGGCGGUGUUGGCCCGGCGUGAAAGCCCCCGGCUCAACCGGGGAGGGUCGUCGGGGACCGCACCGCUUGAGGGCGGUAGGGGCUGGUGGAAUGCCUGGUGUAGUGGUGAAAUGCGUAGAGAUCAGGCGGAACACCCGUAGCGAAGGCGGCCAGCUGGGCCGUCCCUGACACUGAGGCGCGAAGGCGUGGGGAGCGAACGGG